rnacentral:rRNA from 1 species
AUGGACGCAAGUCUGAUGGAGCAACGCCGCGUGAGUGAAGAAGGGUUUCGGCUCGUAAAGCUCUGUUGGUAGUGAAGAAUGAUAGAGGCAGUAACUGGCCUUUAUUUGACGGUAAUUACUUAGAAAGUCACGGCUAACUACGUGCCAGCAGCCGCGGUAAUACGUAGGUGGCAAGCGUUGUCCGGAUUUAUUGGGCGUAAAGCGAGUGCAGGCGGUUCAAUAAGUCUGAUGUGAAAGCCUUCGGCUCAACCGGAGAAUUGCAUCAGAAACUGUUGAGCUUGAGUGCAGAAGAGGAGAGUGGAACUCCAUGUGUAGCGGUGGAAUGCGUAGAUAUAUGGAAGAACACCAGUGGCGAAGGCGGCUCUCUGGUCUGCAACUGACGCUGAGGCUCGAAAGCAUGGGUAGCGAACAGGAUUAGAUGCCCUGGUAGUCCAUGCCGUAAACGAUGAGUGCUAAGUGUUGGGAGGUUUCCGCCUCUCAGUGCUGCAGCUAACGCAUUAAGCACUCCGCCUGGGGAGUACGACCGCAAGGUUGAAACUCAAAGGAAUUGACGGGGGCCCGCACAAGCGGUGGAGCAUGUGGUUUAAUUCGAAGCAACGCGAAGAACCUUACCA